rnacentral:rRNA from 1 species
UACGUAGGGGGCAAGCGUUGUCCGGAAUUAUUGGGCGUAAAGAGCGUGUAGGCGGCCCGGCAAGUCCGCCGUGAAAGUCCAGGGCUCAACCCUGGAAUGCCGGUGGAAACUGUCGGGCUUGAGUUCGGAAGAGGAGAGUGGAAUUCCUGGUGUAGCGGUGAAAUGCGUAGAUAUUGGGAGGAACACCGGUGGCGAAGGCGGCUCACUGGCCCGAUACUGACGCUGAGGCACGAAAGCGUGGGGAGCAAACAGG